UGAAGAUUUUAUUGUAAGCUACGACUCACUUACGGGUGAAAAAAAGCAAACUGUAUCACUUUGCCAGUUCAUGAGCUGAAUCAUAGGUGUCGCAUGACUAAUUUUGGUUUUGCCGCAAAUCGCCAAUAGAAAAUGCAGGUAAAAAGAGCGAUUUUCAAUUGAAAACACUGAAAAUACAUAUUAUCUCAAGCAGAGUGUCACGACAUUCCUUUCGGCUUUCUCCGAAUUUCGCACAGCUGGUUGCGAAUAAACUCGAUCGUAAUGCUUACGUUCCACAAUCAGCUCAGGGACGACUUUUUACCAUAAUUAGGCGUUCGAAUCGAGGAAUAUUCUCUAAAUCUUUGCCAUAUGAGCGUGAAAUGUACAGAGCUACAUUCCUUGACUUGAUACAAAGUUUAUGUAACUGACAAGUUUUCGUUCUGCUGAUAAAAAAUUACAAAUUACAUCUGAGGUUUGCAAUGCUUGAAAUUUUGCGUAGCUUGACACCAGCCCUAAAUGGUUUGCACAGCAACUGAGUACAUUGAUUUGGAUUACGAGCGAAUUCUCAUGGUGCUAUGCAUUUGAUACAAUAUUUACGGAGGACGUGAAGCAUAAAGAUACCACGUUAGAACAAAAUUCUAAUGACCUGAUCGAGAUGAACUGUUUGAUUAGGGAGAACGUAAUAUAAUGCUUGCAAUAUCUGCUAUAGGCGAUGUAUACCAAAACCAAAACAUGGAAAAUCAGUUCAAGCAACUUUGCAAAAAGAAAUCAAGCAAUUUAGGAAUUGUCAAGCCCUUGGAUCAAUAUGUACCUGUCAUCGAAUCAGAUCAUUUUCUAAGCAAGUAGGUAUGCGAAGAUAUCGGCGAAAUGAUAGUACGCUACACACUGAACAUGGAGAUAUUUUAACUUUUUGGGAGCUGCAUCGAGAACAUUGUCACGAAAAGGUACGGCUACAAAGCCGCACGAAUAUUCACAGCUUAAUUCAUAGCAUAGUACUGCCGCAUUUAAGUUAAAAAUAUAUUGUUGAGUAAGAUUAAAGUACGUGGUUUUAUCCAUAUUCAUUAUACACAAUGGCACAUGAUUUUUGGAAAAUUCAUUCGAAAAUAACAUGAUAAACUAAUGAAUUAAAACAUAUUUCGUUGAUCUUAUCAUAUCGACAAUCGAAACAAAAUACAAAUCUGUUGAUAGAAUUAGUUAGUUUCGUUAGUUUAAACGCAAAUCGCGCCAAUUACGCGAAACGCCACUUGCUGGCGCGGGUUGCCUUCGAAAUAUUUCUUAAUAUAGAUUUAUAUUUCAGUGAUACAACGUGAUAUGACGGCAAUAAACUUUUUUGAAUAUAAUUUGGCUUUUUAUUUCUGGGUAACAAGUCCUCUUUAUAAUUAACAAAAUCAUUAGCUGUUUCAACUGGAUGGGAAUUAUUUCAAUAUUACAAUUGAUUGAAACAACCAUCUUGGUUUACAGUUUCAACUUGCAACAAUCUUGAAAUCGACAAUUAUAUUAGUUGUUAGAACUGGUUGGGAAUUAUUUCAACAUUACAAUUGAUUGAAACAACCAUCGUGGUUUUCAGUUUGAAC